UACGUAGGGGGCAAGCGUUGUCCGGAUUUAUUGGGCGUAAAGAGCGUGUAGGCGGCCGGGUAGGUCUGCUGUGAAAACUCGAGGCUUAACCUCGAGAUGUCGGCGGAAACCAUCUGGCUAGAGUCCGGAAGAGGAGAAUGGAAUUCCCGGUGUAGCGGUGAAAUGCGCAGAUAUCGGGAAGAACACCCGUGGCGAAGGCGGUUCUCUGGGACGGUACUGACGCUGAGACGCGAAAGCGUGGGGAGCGAACAGG
rnacentral:rRNA from 1 species